GGCACGAUGGUUUAGUGGUAGGCAUGUUUGCCUUGCACCCCUUGGGUUGGGGGUUCGAUUCCCACCUCCGCCA